CRUAAGUACAACCCUGAACGGUGGAUCACUCGGCUCGUGGGUCGAUGAAGAACGCAGCAAAUUGCGCGUCGACAUGUGAACUGCAGGACACAUGAACAUCGACAUUUCGAACGCACAUUGCGGUCCAUGGAUUCCGUUCCCGGACCACGCCUGGCUGAGGGUCGGUAGCUAAAA
rnacentral:rRNA from 1 species